rnacentral:lncRNA from 1 species
AAAGGGAUCCUAAGUUCAGGUCUAGCCGUCACCAAUUUCUGAAAAUUGUGUGGAUGUCAGCUCGUUGAUGUAAAAAAGAAUCUGGUUUGCAUGUGAAGGGGCGUGACGAUGUGUUGAAGACGUGACUUAAAUAAAUUAGUUUGUCCUCCCCUUAACUGUUUAAACUUCCAGAUGAGGAGCAUCAACAGUCUUCUUUAGAAUUUCUUUUAUAUAAAAAGAAAAAUCAGCAUUAGCUUUCAUCUCUAUCAUGUUCUUGUAUAGUGGUAAAUGCAUUAUCCUCAAGUACACAUUCAGAAAUUUAUUUACUCAUCAUUUACAUCUUCUGCAGUUUGAUAGGUUCCAUUAUAAUUGUUAUCGGGUUCUACUCAGUGAUGUGGGGAAAGUCAAAGGAAGUUGAGGUGGUAGACGACAAUGUACUGAGAAGCUCUGAAUCAAGAACUGAAAAUUUCCCUUUGCUACCAGCCAAGGAUGAGGAAAUCAAUGCCUAAUGCAUAAAAUCAAAGUUUGACUCUUCCUCGCUAUAAAAUGUAGGUAUGUGCUUUUCUCCAGGAAAGAAGUUUUGGCUUCUAAUAGCAGAAGAAAAUUUAAUUUAUGAGCUCUUUAUCUUUCAUUAUGAGAAAAAUUGAUAUCAAGAUGCAUGUGGUAUCUGUCUUUCUUUUGGUCGAGCAUAUCAGAGGUUCUUGCAGCACAACUUGACUAACAGAAAAGUUUGAGAAUGGAUAAGGACCUAUCCAUUCAUCUCAGUCAGCAUAUUAAGUUAUUUUACUCAGCAGAAAUGAAAUAUCUUGAAUAAACACAAGAUUAUCUCCUAUUGUUAGUUCGAGUGUUUUUUUUUACUUGCAUCAUAUGUAAUGCAGUGAAUGAUUUAUUGUGUAUUGUUUGUUUUAUUUUUCUAUUUCUCAUAUAAGGGUAAUUUGUACUUGUCUAAAUAAAAUUGUUAAAUUGAACAAGUGUCUUGAGUUAGUGAAUGGUGCACUUUUAUGUUGAGAUAUAAUGCUACUACAUUUCUCGUGUUAAAUUAGUUGCGAGAACAACAAUUCCAAUCAACUCGAAGUUGAAACCAUAUAUGUCCUUAUAAUUUAAUUUAAAACGAUACAUUAUUGAGUACACAAUUCAAAUAUUUCGAUUGGAG